UACGUAGGGGGCAAGCGUUGUCCGGAAUCACUGGGCGUAAAGGGCGCGUAGGCGGCGGGGUAAGUCUGGUGUGAAAUCUCGGAGCUCAACUCCGAAAUUGCACUGGAUACUGCUCUGCUAGAGGGCUGGAGAGGAGAUCGGAAUUCACGGUGUAGCAGUGAAAUGCGUAGAUAUCGUGAGGAAGACCAGUGGCGAAGGCGGAUCUCUGGACAGCUCCUGACGCUGAGGCGCGAAGGCUAGGGGAGCAAACGGG
rnacentral:rRNA from 1 species